rnacentral:misc_RNA from 1 species
GUUUUAUAGAUUUUUUACGUCUAUGUUACAUUAUUUUAUACUGAAUUCUUUUGGUAAAUAAUAAUAGGGUAACAAGCCUAAGCUUGAUCAUGACUCGGUUAACAUUCUAUAGACUUACCCAUAUAGCCUAUAGCCAUUCCUCAAGCGUCAUGCAAUAAUACAGUUCACAGUAAAAGAGAAUAUACCGAAGUACAUCAAAUUACUUAAUGAUCCUUCCGCAGGUUCACCUACGGAAA